CAUAGUUCUGGAUUAUGGCACCAGUAUUGGCUGAGCUCCGUGGGAGGUGAAGCAGGUGUUUGGCAUGAAAGCAGAGAGGAGUGAAGACACAGCAUGGAAUCAUAGAAUCUAGGACUGGAGAGGCUCAUCGAGAUUGGCGCUUCUGAAAAAGAACGCUCCAUAGGAGUGACUGGGUGGAAAUGAGAAGAGAGCUUGGGCGCCAAUGGACAAAAGCUGACACACCACCCACAUUCACCCUCACCAGUAAGGGUUUAUUAUUAAAGAUCAUGUUGGAAACCCAGAGAAUUUGUUAACUCUUCUGUUCUGUAAAUGGUGUUCUUGAACAUUUAUGCCAGCUCUCAAUGGCAGCCCAGAUUACAUAGUCAUAGCCUGUCUCCACCAACUCAUGAACAAACAAGCAAACAGUAGCAUUGAGACUGUGACUAGCCUGAUUUUUUUUUGCAGUCCAGGGACAUGGUCUCUUAUGUCACACUUUCAAUUUUUUAAAAAAAAAUAUUUUGAGACAAGACCAAGUUGCCCUGUAUGUUUUUUCAUAUUUUGUCGAGAAAUUGUGUCAAAAUUCAGUAUAGCGCUGAGUUUCUAAAACUCCCCUCUCAUCUCUAAACAAAAACAAUAUCCUUAUAAAUCCACCUUACAAUUUGAUUUACAAAAGAAAAAUCUACAUCUCUCAGCAAUGUUAGUGGAAGAAGCAUGGUUCCUCAAAACCCUUAAGAGAUUUAAUUUUGAGAGUCACCAAAGUCCUUUGGAGAU
rnacentral:lncRNA from 1 species